rnacentral:tRNA from 1 species
AAGUAAGAAGCAAUUAAUUGCAAUUAGUUUCGACCUAGGAGUAUGAUUUUGAAAAAUCCUUACUUA